GACAGAGGGUGCAAACGUUGUUCGGAUUUACUGGGCGUAAAGCGCGUGUAGGUGGCUUUGCAAGUCGGAUGUGAAAGCCCACGGCUCAACCGUGGAAGUGCAUCCGAAACUGCAUGGCUUGAGUCUCGGAGAGGAAGGUGGAAUGCUUGGUGUAGAGGUGAAAUUCGUAGAUAUCAAGCAGAACACCUGCGGCGAAGGCGGCCUUCUGGACGAUGACUGACGCUGAGACGCGAAAGCGUGGGGAGCAAACAGG
rnacentral:rRNA from 1 species